CUAAUACAUGCAAGUCGAGCGGACCGACGGGAGCUUGCUCCCUUAGGUCAGCGGCGGACGGGUGAGUAACACGUGGGUAACCUGCCUGUAAGACUGGGAUAACUCCGGGAAACCGGGGCUAAUACCGGAUGCUUGAUUGAACCGCAUGGUUCAAUCAUAAAAGGUGGCUUUUAGCUACCACUUGCAGAUGGACCCGCGGCGCAUUAGCUAGUUGGUGAGGUAACGGCUCACCAAGGCGACGAUGCGUAGCCGACCUGAGAGGGUGAUCGGCCACACUGGGACUGAGACACGGCCCAGACUCCUACGGGAGGCAGCAGUAGGGAAUCUUCCGCAAUGGACGAAAGUCUGACGGAGCAACGCCGCGUGAGUGAUGAAGGUUUUCGGAUCGUAAAACUCUGUUGUUAGGGAAGAACAAGUACCGUUCGAAUAGGGCGGUACCUUGACGGUACCUAACCAGAAAGCCACGGCUAACUACGUGCCAGCAGCCGCGGUAAUACGUAGGUGGCAAGCGUUGUCCGGAAUUAUUGGGCGUAAAGCGCGCGCAGGCGGUUUCUUAAGUCUGAUGUGAAAGCCCCCGGCUCAACCGGGGAGGGUCAUUGGAAACUGGGGAACUUGAGUGCAGAAGAGGAGAGUGGAAUUCCACGUGUAGCGGUGAAAUGCGUAGAGAUGUGGAGGAACACCAGUGGCGAAG
rnacentral:rRNA from 1 species